GGAAAACAAUAUUUUAGAAAUUGAUUUUUUUUGGAGAAUAUGUGGUUAAGAAGUAAGAAAAAGUGUUGAAUUUACAUGCAAAAUAAUUUAGUGAAUGUGUGGUUGAAAAUGAGUAUGAAAAAUAAAGAGUUUCGAAAUAAAAAAGCGUCAAACAGGGUCUAUCUUAAAAUGACUGCCACCAAAUGUCUUAUAGUUGACGUGCUUUUGCACGAAAUCGAUUUAAAUUUGGAAUAUCACGGAAUCAAUGUAGUUAAUCAACAAGAUUUUCCAACCCCAGAAGUUAUUUCAUUAUUUCAGAACAAUUAAUUUAAGUUGAAAAGUCCAAAUAUACCAGUUCCUUAAAAAUGUUGGCUUAAAAUAAUUUAAAACAAGAUUUUCCAAGUCCAAAAGAGAGGCAUUAUAAAGGAAUUAGGUCAAAAUCUAUAGAAAAACUAUCACUCAAAAAUUGUCCCAAUACUAAAUCUGAUUCCACAAUUUUAAAAUCAAGUUGAAAAUCUAGGUUCAAAUAUACACAUCUCAAAAGUUUCUGCAUGUGGUACCCAACAAAAUUCUUCUGACAUCAUAAAAAUUCAAUUAACAUUUCACAAACAAAAUAUUCCAAACACCUGCAAUAAUAGUGUGGGUAUGGUGCAUAUGAACCGCAGCAAAAAGGAAAGAGCCAGUAGUAUAAAUAUAUAACGGCAACCAAAAAAUAGCUCUUUACUUUCCAUUUUCGAUAUUUUUCUUUGUUGGGCAGGAUCAUAGGAGGGAGGAGAAAUUGUAGAACAUAAUCAAGACAAAAAUUUAAGGUAAUUUGUAACAUGAAAGAAUCCAAGACCCAUAAACAAGUCAUUCGAACCCAUUAGUUAAUUGAAACAAAAAUGUGAAAUCUUGCUAGCUCUUUCAUGAACGUAAUAUAUGCCAUGACUAUGCACUGAAUUAACACCGACAAAUUAAGGAAUCAGUUGUAGAGUUUAUUGAUACAAGUUAACUAAUACUAUAUGCGAGUUCGAUCCAUACAAAAAUCACUGGUUGCAAAUACAAUUAUGAUCUUCUUGCAAAAAUUGGAUUACAACUCAGUGCUUUAAAGUGAAUACUUGAAAUUAUAACCAGAGCAUCAUUUGAUAGUUCUUAUGAAAGCUUAAUUGCUACUGAGGAAGGAAAAAGGAAUUGAAUUCUGCAUAAAAAGCACUUUUACGUCAUCUUCAAAAUAUUAUGAUAUUAACAAAAUAGAUCAGGCAUAUCAAAUUAACAGCUAAAUUUGUAGCAACUAACGCCGUGCACCUAAAAUAAUGAAGUGUUUAUGUGGAUUGAUAAACACGUUCAAAAUAAAAUGAAUCAACCUUGCUUCAUAAGGCAAGAUUAAGAUUUGGAAAACUGAAAAUGAGACACAAUGCAAAAGUAGGUCAAAUAUAUUAAUAUAAAUGCAAAAUUAGUGGGAUCUGACACUGUGCACCUAAAAUUAUAAGUUCUUGUCAUCAGCCUACUAGUUAUCUUUCAAUUUUCAACGUCAAAAUAACUUAAUUUGAUUGUGUCUGAAAUUCCACGAGUGGAGGUGGCAUUGAAAUUGCAGACAAGCCAGCAGCAGUGUGAUGACAAUUACUUUGCAACAGUUUUAGAACAAAUUGGUAGCAAAAACGGCAGAUUUAGAUUCUAAUUAGUUGACAAUUUGAUUAGGAAGUGAAUAUUUGUAGUAAAUUUGGUCAUUUACAAAGAAAUGAUAGACAAUUUUCGAAGAAUUAGAAGUGUUAGGGUUUUGGUAAAAGGCGAGAGGGAGAAAGUCAACAAAAAGUGAGAUAUGUUGUGAUUUUGUUUUGUUUAAAAUUGCCCAAAAGUUGGGUCAGGUGACCCACAGGCCUCCUCCAUGUUUGCCACUGCCCCAAAAAAAAUAAAAUUAAAUCGUAGGUUUUGGCCUAGAGAGAAAAGAUGAGAUGAAAGAGUCCGAUUUUCAAUGGCAAAAUAACUUAAUUUGAUUGCGUCAGAAGGUCCAGAGCGAAGGUGAAUUGCAAUGACAAACAAGCCAGUGGUAGCAUAUUGACAAUCACUUUGCAAUAAUGAUAGAACAAAUUGGUAGCCAAAAAAAGAAGAAGACAAAUUUAGGUUCUAAUUAGUUGACAAUUUGAUUAUGAAGUGAAUAUUUGUAGUAGAUGUGGUAAUUUAUGAAGAAAUGAUAAGAUGAAUUUUGAAGAAUUAGAAGUGUUAAGGUUUUGGUAAAAGGAGAGAGAGAGUCAACACAAAGUGUGAGAUAUGUUAAAAAAAUUUUAGGAAAAAAAUUGCCCCAGAAAUUGGGGGGUCACAU
rnacentral:lncRNA from 1 species